rnacentral:rRNA from 1 species
AACGUAGGUGGCAAGCGUUAUCCGGAUUCACUGGGCGUAAAGCGCACGCAGGCGGCUCGGUAGGUAGGGCAUGAAAUCUCCUGGCAUAACUAGGAGACGCUGUCCUAAACCCCCGAGCUUGAGGAUGGGAGAGGGCAGUGGAAUUGCCGGUGUAGUGGUGAAAUGCGUAGAGAUCGGCAGGAACACCAGUGGCGUAAGCGACUGCCUGGCCCAUACCUGACGCUCAGGUGCGAAAGCUAGGGGAGCGAACGGG